rnacentral:rRNA from 1 species
GACGAACGCUGGCGGCGUGCUUAGCACAUGCAAGUCGAACGAUGAAGAAAAGAAUUGAAGCUUCGGCAGAAAUUCAUUUCGGAUUAGUGGCAGACGGGUGAGUAACGCGUGAGCAACCUACCUCUUACAAAGGGAUAGCCUCGGGAAACCGGGAUUAAUACCAUAUAACAUUGCGACGAAGCAUUUCGAUGCAAUCAAAGCUACGGCGGUAAGAGAUGGGCUCGCGUCCCAUUAACCAGAUGGUGAGGUAACGGCUCACCAUAGUAACGAUGGGUAACCGGCCUGAGAGGGUGAACGGUCACACUGGAACUGAGACACGGUCCAGACUCCUACGGGAGGCAGCAGUGGGGAAUAUUGCACAAUGGAGGGAACUCUGAUGCAGCGACGCCGCGUGAGUGAUGAAGGAAUUCGUUUCGUAAAACUCUGUUCUAUGGGAAGAAAAGGACUGUACCAUAGGAGAAAGCUCCGGCUAAAUACGUG